GAAUUUCUGCUGCAUCGUUUUUCUUUGCUUGACAGAUGGGGUUUGUUUGGGGUUUGGUGGGGUUCAGUUUUCGUUUCUCGACGUUUACUUUGAGAAAAUUAGAGUGCUUCAAGCAGGCUUUUGCCUUGAAUACUUUAGCAUGGAAUAAUGGAGUAGGACUUUGGUUCUAUUUUGUUGGUUUUAGGAGCCAGAGUAAUGGUUAAUAGGAACAGUUGGGGGCAUUCGUAUUUGACUGUCAGAGGUGAAAUUCUUAGAUUUGUCAAAGACGAACUACUGCGAAAGCAUUUGCCAAGGAUGUUUUCAUUAAUCAAGAACGAAAGUUAGGGGAUCGAAGACGAUCAGAUACCGUCGUAGUCCUAACUAUAAACGAUGCCGACUAGAGAU
rnacentral:rRNA from 1 species